UCACGGGCAGGCAGCAGCUGAUCGGGGCAGGGGCAGCCAGGGAGCACCAGCACACCUUAGUCACCCCCCCGUGCAGCCAUGUGGUGGACCUGUCCCCUCUUCUACCUCACCAUCUUCUGCACAGAGGUCUCGCUGGACAUAAUUUUGGAAGCAGACACCAAAAUUCUGACUGUUCUAAUUGGGGAGCCUGCCACCUUCCGCUGCAAUGUAACAGGAGCGGACUUAAAAAAUUAUCAAAUGAGCUGGUAUAAGAAGGAUGAAGAUAACUCCCUGACUUUAGUAUAUAGACUAAGCAACAAUUCUACUGACCAUUUGAAGAGUAAUAUCAAAGGGAAAGUCGACCCUUUAAAAAGUCAGUAUAUACUUGACAUUCAAAAGGCAACAACAAAAGACAUUGGGACUUACUACUGUGGGUCCGAUACCCACAGUGCUGCUCCUCUGCUUCUCACCACCUCAGGAUGCCCGGGGUCAGACCGAGGUGGCAGAUGCGAUUAGAGGCCCUCUUUGGCUAGAAUGUGCACCACACCUUAGAUGAGACCACCUGAUAACCUCCACAGUAACAUCUGAUAAGAGAGACAAGAGCUGAGUUGGGGUUAAGGGCCUUAUCUUUGCAGUUGGUUGAAAGGAGGCUUCUUUAUUGGCCUAGGCGGGCAGAAAAUGCUGUUAGGGCUUAGGUGGAAAGACCAAGGAGAUCUGCACCUGUCUCUCCAGACCCCUGAGGAAAGGUUGAAAAAACAACCUUCGGGACUGAGAAGGCCCGAUCGCUGCGGAGGCGGCUGAGGCGAACAGAAUUUCCACUAUCGUCAGUGCUGUAGCUCAUUCCCGAGUCUUUAUUGAGAAAGCGUUCAUGUGCAUAAACUAGAUAAAGCAAGGACGGUUUCCAUUACCAUCCUAAUCAAAAUUUCCAAAGCCAUUAGAGAUAACUUUAACUCUUACUCUGUGAAGAAAGAUGAAUAGAGUCAUUUUCUGAAAUGUUCCUAUAACCAUUUCAAGUACUGAAUGCUUUAUAUCCUCCCCUAGCUACAGAGGAACCCUGGGUACCUAGGGGGUUGGCUGAGAGAGAUCUCGGAGACAAAUACUUAUGGCAAUGUGGCAUUUAUGAGUUGGUCAUGAAUCAACUGAAUCAGAAAUAUAGGUCCCCCAGCCCCAAGUUGAAACAGGCAGGCCAAAAGUGUCUGACACUACAGGGAGCUAAGCAAGCCCCCAGGGGGAGGAACCCCGCUCCCCCCCUCACCCGGGCAG